rnacentral:rRNA from 1 species
UGGGGAAUAUUGCACAAUGGGCGAAAGCCUGAUGCAGCGACGCCGCGUGCGGGAUGAAGGCCUUCGGGUUGUAAACCGCUUUUAAUUGGGAGCAAGCGAGAGUGAGUGUACCUUUUGAAUAAGCACCGGCUAACUACGUGCCAGCAGCCGCGGUAAUACGUAGGGUGCAAGCGUUAUCCGGAAUUAUUGGGCGUAAAGAGCUCGUAGGCGGUUUGUCACGCCUGGUGUGAAAGUCCAUCGCUUAACGGUGGAUCUGCGCCGGGUACGGGCAGGCUAGAGUGCAGUAGGGGAGAUUGGAAUUCCCGGUGUAACGGUGGAAUGUGUAGAUAUCGGGAAGAACACCAAUGGCGAAGGCAGAUCUCUGGGCUGUUACUGACGCUGAGGAGCGAAAGCAUGGGGAGCGAACAGGAUUAGAUACCCGUGGGU